AAAAAACAAAGAAUUAGAACACCUUUUAAUUUUUUUUUAGGGGUAGCAUAUGCCACCCCUGUUACUUAAUAGAUUCGCCCCUGGCGACAUUGACGCAUCUUCUGCUGUUUUUCAAUGACUUCCGAAAGCGGCUUUGGCUUCCUCGCCAAUCGAGCCUACGAUCCUCCUUCUUGGGCGUCUCAUCUUUCUCCCAUUCCUUCUCACACUUGCUCUCUUGCCCAUCUUCCUACUCCAAUUCACAAGUGGAAUCUCCCUAAUUUACCUCCCAAAACGGAAGUUUGGUUGAAGCGUGAUGAUAUCUCCGGUAUGCAGCUGAGUGGUAACAAGGUGAGAAAGCUGGAGUUCUUGAUGGCUGACGCUCUAGCACAGGGUGCAGAUUGUAUUACAACAAUUGGUGGCAUCCAGAGUAACCACUGUCGUGCAACUGCCGUAGCUGCAAAGUAUUUGAAUCUUGACUGUUUUCUUAUACUACGUACUUCCAAGGCUCUUUCGGACAAGGAUCCAGGACUUAUUGGCAACUUGUUGGUUGAACGCUUAGUUGGAGCUCAUGUUGAACUUGUAUCGAAAGAAGAAUAUGCAAAAAUUGGAAGUGUGGCUUUGACGAAUUUGCUGAAAGAAAGGCUGAUAAGUGAAGGAAGAAAGCCAUAUGUUAUUCCUGUCGGUGGUUCAAACUGUUUAGGAACUUGGGGUUACAUCGAGGCGAUCAGGGAGAUAGAGCAGCAGCUUCAUACUGUUGCAGACUCGAGAAGAUUUGAUGACAUUGUUGUGGCAUGUGGCAGUGGUGGUACGAUUGCUGGUCUGUCAUUGGGGUCAUGGCUGAGUAAUUUGAAGGCAAAAGUUCAUGCAUUUUCAGUUUGUGAUGAUCCGGAUUACUUCUAUGACUAUGUUCAAGGCCUCCUUGAUGGACUUAAGGCUGGAAUCAGCUCUCGUGACAUUGUGAACAUUCAAAAUGCCAAAGGUUUGGGUUAUGCAAUCAACACACAAGAGGAGCUUAACUUUGUCAAGGACAUUGCUUCUGCUACUGGUGUUGUUCUUGAUCCAGUCUACAGGACAAGUUUCGAAUAUUAUAAAUGGAUACACCAUGCUACCAUUCAAGGCAUGAGUGAUUUUGAGUAAAAAGAAUUCGAGUGCUUAUUGCAUUGAAUAUUUGGUCGUUGUACUAAGAACAUACAAAUCGUGAUUUGUGUGCAUCUCCUAAACGAGAGCAGUGCGAUUGUAGAGACGCGUGAGGGAGCGUGCAAGCUUGGAUUGGGCUGAAAAUUUGGCUGUUGAAAUCAACAUGGGAGAAUCCGAGGCACUUAAGGCUUGGAUGACAACUAUGGUGGAUAAGACGACUGCAGAAGUGGCUGAGCUUCUUGAUGCAUGACUGGAGGACUAUGAGACACAGACCAACGACAAUUCCAUACUCCUAGAUAAACUCACAACCGAAAGGAUAGGAGCAAAGAACCAUUAAGAAUCCGAAUUGAAACUUGGGGAUCUUUCGGAAUUCAAUGGAUUGAAGGACCCUCAGACUCAUUUCAAUUGGGAAAGGAGGGUUGAACGCAUGUUUGAUCACAAAGAGUUGCCGCAGAUGUUUCUGGACCCAGACAAGAGAGGGGACUAAGGAGAAAGAGAGAAAGUGAGGAAAAGACAAAUGGUUAUUUUAGAACUCAUCGUGCAGCUUCGUGAAUAGCAUUAUAUGAAAGAUAUAUGGCUUAGCCAUCAAGAUAACUUAGUUUUGAUAAUCAGGUGCAGCCCUGCACCUAUGUCUACUUCUGGGAAAACUUUUACCGCCAGCAAAUGUUGAUCCAAGUCUGAUUAUUUGGAGGUGUCUCUACUCCCCAUAAUGAACGUGCAACUUUUUCUUGUUUAGCCAAUCGAUUUCACUUUUGAAGUAUCUUAUUGUGGCAUGGAUAUCUUCCAACCUCUUUUCAGUUUUCUAUAUGCCACUUUGUCCAGGCUUGUAAUUGACAAUGAAUACCCAUUUGAGAAACAUAGAGCUUAGCCCCCAUAACUUUUUUAACCCCCGAGCAAUGUUGUUAAAAUCGAGAUUCUAGUUUGAAUCGAAAACAACAUUUAUAAUCGAAUCGUAAAAUCGAAUCGUAGAAUCGUAAGAUUCUACAAACAUGUAUAAUCAAGAUAUUGCACUCAAUCUUCAUUGAAUAUGCUAAAUUAUAAGUUAAAAGACCUAAAAAUUGGAAAAAAUAGUUGUUUACCCACUAUAUUGGCCUUGCCUUCUAUGUGUUUCUUACUUUGUCACUGAAAAUCUACUUCCUAUGCUCUCCUGUGCAUGUUCCCCAAUUCCCUCUUCCCCCUUUUUCCUAUAUCGCUAGUUCACUACUAUGUCCCUUGUGUAUAAUAAGCAAAUGUACUGUACUUAAUAAACUAAGCCUGUUACAGUAGUUCCUUAAUGUACUUCCCAUCUUUAUUAUCAUAGGACUGUAACAAUUUAACAAUUAACAAACUUGCAUUGUAGGUCCCACAAUAGUUUCUUUUGGAGGAUUUACAUGAUAUAUAUUACUGAAAUGCAUAUUAUCAACCCACAACCAACUUAACUACUAAAAGAAUGAACGUUUAAUUAUCCAUUGAGGAGUUGAAGCCUUAGUAGUAUAGGUCUUUGGUUUUUCACAUUGCAACGUCAUUUGUAAUUGUAUAAGGUUAGACAAGAUUAAUCAUAUGAGCUGUUGCUAAUUAGUCAUGCUGCAUGGUUUUCUUGUUAGCUUUUGGUGAUGCUGAUUGUGUUAAUUGACCAUUCUGUAUGUAACUUGAUGCAUUAAAAUGAUAAGCAAUCAUGGGGUAAACCGACUUGUUUUUCUUACGCUUCUUCAUGGGGACUCUAUCCAAAUGGAGAGUUGCCGCAGAUGUUUCUGGACCCAGACAAGAGAGGGGACUAAGGAGAAAGAGAGAAAGUGAGGAAAAGACAAAUGGUUAUUUUAGAACUCAUCGUGCAGCUUCGUGAAUAGCAUUAUAUGAAAGAUAUAUGGCUUAGCCAUCAAGAUAACUUAGUUUUGAUAAUCAGGUGCAGCCCUGCACCUAUGUCUACUUCUGGGAAAACUUUUACCGCCAGCAAAUGUUGAUCCAAGUCUGAUUAUUUGGAGGUGUCUCUACUCCCAUAAUGAACGUGCAACUUUUUCUUGUUUAGCCAAUCGAUUUCACUUUUGAAGUAUCUUAUUGUGGCAUGGAUAUCUUCCAACCUCUUUUCAGUUUUCUAUAUGCCACUUUGUCCAGGCUUGUAAUUGACAAUGAAUACCCAUUUGAGAAACAUAGAGCUUAGCCCCUAUAACUUUUUUAACCCCCGAGCAAUGUUGUUAAAAUCGAGAUUCUAGUUUGAAUCGAAAACAACAUUUAUAAUCGAAUCGUAAAAUCGAAUCGUAGAAUCGUAAGAUUCUACAAACAUGUAUAAUCAAGAUAUUGCACUCAAUCUUCAUUGAAUAUGCUAAAUUAUAAGUUAAAAGACCUAAAAUUGGAAAAAAUAGUUGUUUACCCACUAUAUUGGCAAUAACUAACAAUAUAUAUCUCUUAUUUUCUUUGUUAGCAUGAUUUAAACUUGCGAGGUUUUCGUUAGUCAACAGAAAUGUAUAUAAUCGUCCAGAAUUGCGAAUCGAAUCGUCUACCAUAUUUUGAAUCGUAAAAUCGUAAGAUUUUAAGAUUUGAAUCGCGAUUUUAAUAACUUUGCCCCCAAGAUUUAUUUACUAUGGUGCAUCUAGUCAAGUCAAGAAACUAUAUCUUUCUCCAGUAUUAUGUUAUCUUUUUUCACUUUACAGUGGAAAAGCUGCUUUCGGGUUAAUGAAAGAUAUGA